GAUGAAGAACGCAGCGAAAUGCGAUAACUAAUGUGAAUUGCAGAAUUCCGUGAAUCAUCGAGUCUUUGAACGCACAUUGCGCCCCCUGGUAUUCCGGGGGGCAUGCCUGUCCGAGCGUCAUUGCUGCCCAUCAAGCACGGCUUGCGUGUUGGGUCCCGUCCCCCUCUCCCGGGGGACGGACCCGAAAGGCAGCGGCGGCACCGCGUCCGGUCCUCGAGCGUAUGGGGCUUUGUCACCCGCUCUUGUAGGCCCGGCCGGCGCUUGCCGACACCCAACCAUUUUUUUCAGGUUGACCUCGGAUCAGGUAGGGAUACCCGCUGAACUUAAGCAUAUCAAUAGCGGAGGA
rnacentral:misc_RNA from 1 species